rnacentral:rRNA from 1 species
GACGAACGCUGGCGGCGUGCUUAACACAUGCAAGUCGAACGGAAAGGCCCUGCUUUUGUGGUGUGCUCGAGUGGCGAACGGGUGAGUAACACGUGAGUAACCUGCCCUUGACUUUGGGAUAACUUCAGGAAACUGGGGCUAAUACCGGAUAGGAGCUCCUGCUGCAUGGUGGGGGUUGGAAAGUUUCGGCGGUUGGGGAUGGACGCGCGGCUUAUCAGCUUGUUGGUGGGGUAGUGGCUUACCAAGGCUUUGACGGGUAGCCGGCCUGAGAGGGUGACCGGCACCAUUGGGACUGAGAUACGGCCCAGACUCCUACGGGAGGCAGCAGUGGGGAAUAUUGCACAAUGGGAGGAAGCCUGAUGCAGCAACGCCGCGUGCGGGAUGACGGCCUUCGGGUUGUAAACCGCUUUCGCCUGUGACGAAGCGUGAGUGACGGUAAUGGGUAAAGAAGCACCGGCUAACUACGUG